UACGGAGGAUGCGAGCGUUAUCCGGAUUUAUUGGGUUUAAAGGGUGCGCAGGCGGCACGGCAAGCCGGCGGUCAAAUCGCGGGGCUCAACCCCGCCCAGCCGUCGGAACUGCCGGGCUAGAGUGGGCGAGAAGUGCGCGGAAUGCGUGGUGUAGCGGUGAAAUGCAUAGAUAUCACGCAGAACUCCGAUUGCGAAGGCAGCGCACCGGCGCCCUACUGACGCUCAGGCACGAAAGCAUGGGUAUCGAACAGG
rnacentral:rRNA from 1 species